UUACUUUCGCAUCUGUGCUGUGCAUGCAAGGAGGUUCCUUGCUGAAUGGCCAUAUCCUCAAAACAUUGUUCUUCAAGAACCUUUGAGGGUGACAGCUAUCCAUUCAGCAUUAAUGGAAGCAGCAUGCGCAGAGAUGUUUUUUUUUUAACACUAUACAGUGUCUUACAGCCUCAGAGUUGAAACCUCAAUGCUUACAUUGCUGGACUUCGCUGCAGCUUCGUCAGAGUGAAGUACAAGGUUGAUUCUACUUUUGAUGGCCUGUUUCUCUCUACCUGUAUGCUCAGGGAAAGACAGUCCUGCAUCACUUCGCAUUUGG